UAGACUAUACUCUCAGCAACCAGCUCCCGAAUUCAUUACUAGAGAAGCUUCUCUGAACGUGUAGAGCCCUGGGAACCAGGAGGGGGAGGUGAGCAUUUUCUCCUGAGCAUGAGGUGGCUUUAGGUAUUGCUUCAUGGCAAUCUGGCAACUGCCAUGUGCCAUUGAAGAUGGUUCUUAUCUUCCUCUGAAAGAGGAAGAGGACACAGUCUGAGUGGU
rnacentral:snoRNA from 1 species